CAUGGCUCAGGAUGAACGCUAGCGAUAGGCUUAACACAUGCAAGUCGAGGGGCAGCAUGGUCUUAGCUUGCUAAGACUGAUGGCGACCGGCGCACGGGUGCGUAACGCGUAUGCAACUUGCCUCACAGAGGGGGAUAACCCGUCGAAAGACGGACUAAUACCGCGUACACUCUAUGUUGGGCAUCCAAUGUAGAGGAAAUGAAAUUCGCUGUGAGAUAGGCAUGCGUCCCAUUAGCUAGUUGGUGAGGUAACGGCUCACCAAGGCGACGAUGGGUAGGGGAACUGAGAGGUUGAACCCCCACACUGGUACUGAGACACGGACCAGACUCCUACGG
rnacentral:rRNA from 1 species